UACACAUCUCGGCGUCUCGGCAAGAUGGGGAAUCGCUGCUGCGAUCUCGCUCGUCAUGCGCCCUACUGGAGCCUAUGGCUAUGGAUCCUCCUAGACUUCAGCUUCCCUUCUUCAAUCCGCGCGAUUCGGAAGGAUAUCGGUCUCGUGGAGAAUCCUGUUUGCAGGAAUACUGUCCAGGGGCGUUACUUAUUAUCAGAUGAUAAUGGAUAUGUAUGUACUGCCCUUUCCGUUAAUUCAUGGACCCGGUGCUGUCCCUCUAAGGGGGACCAAUUUUCUUGUCAGGGCUGCAACCUUGUUUCACAUUGUUGCAAUUCAUAUGAGUACUGUGUAUCAUGCUGCUUAGAUCCAUCAAGGACUGAAAAAGCUAUGGCUUUGAAGGUGAAAAUUGCUAAACCAAUCACAUCAGGAACUUAUUCUAGUGUGUUUGAUUUCUGUGCUGGAAGAUGCCGUCAUAACUCUGCAAGUGUGGUUCAUGAGAAUGCCUAUGCAAGUGAGUUCCACCACUGUUUUUCACUACAAUCAAAUUCUACAGGGAACACAGAGCCAAAUUCUGAAGCAAGAUUAUCUGGUAUCGACAUUGUUGUCGGAAGGCUCGGAGAAUCUUGUAAUGCAGUUUGCAGUUCAAGAGGGAAAACAUGUGUUCCAAACAGACUUUUGCUUCUAAAUAGAUGUGAUAUGUAAGUCUUUUUCUUUUGAGAAACUCGAUUAUAUGCUCGUACAUCUUCUAUUCUUAUCUCUGGUCUCGAUGGUAUUAAUGAUGUCAAAAGUCACUGAAUCUUGUAGGAACAUAGGAGUCAAUAAAAAGCAACGUAACCAUAUAUUCUGCAUAUCACUAUCUUUACUAAUACUGCCAAUUUGUGAAUGCUUUUAGGCCUUUCUCAUUAUCAGAUUUCAAAUGAUCCAUUAGAUUUAGACAGUCACUAGAUGUGUUCGAUAGCAUGUCACUAAAUGUUAGAUCUCUCGGCGAAGUCAAGGUUCAGCAUUCUACCUAGGAUGUUUGCAGAAAUAUAUGAACUGUAAGGGUGGAUGUUUCGCAAGCAUUGGGUCAGAUCAACCUGCAGAAGUUGUUGAAGAUGCACCCAAGAACAUGACAAGGUUCUAGUACCAUGAAGGUUAAAGCCCAAUGACCAAGGUAUGAAUUGUUCUUGCAGAACCCAGGAGCAUGCUUGUACACUCAAACAGAGUCUUUAGUUUCAUGUGAUGGCUCACAUCAGCAAACCAAGAGGCUUUGCCCGUGCGCAUGAUGGCAUUACUCGCGAUACUGACAGUGAACAAUCCCAGAUGAAACUACAGUUGGAUCUUGAAAAUUUACAAAGUUAAAGAUGUUCAUAACCUUUUUGCAAAAGCUGGCGGUUUUGAUUUCUCUGGAUGUAGUCAUCAGGUAUGAAACUGGCUAUCGCUUCCGAUACUGAUAAUUGUCUGUCGCCUGUAUUUUGCCUGCACAAUACAAAUUUUUGCUGCCUUCUUACCUUUGAGAUUUCACUAUUGUCUCCCGAAAACUCAUCUUCCCCCGAAACACACCUUUUGAUUACAAGGGAUCGAUCAUUGUAGCUAUUUCUGCAA